UGGGGAAUUUUGGACAAUGGGGGAAACCCUGAUCCAGCCAUGCCGCGUGAGUGAAGAAGGCCUUCGGGUUGUAAAGCUCUUUCAGCCGGAACGAAACGGUCACAGCUAAUACCUGUGACUACUGACGGUACCGGAAGAAGAAGCACCGGCUAACUACGUG
rnacentral:rRNA from 1 species